UACGGAGGGUGCGAGCGUUGUCCGGAAUCACUGGGCGUAAAGGGCGCGUAGGCGGCGCGGGUAGUCAUCGGUGAAAGUUCAGGGCUCAACUCUGAAUCGGCCGGUGAUACUCCCGUGCUCGAGCACUGUAGAGGCAGGUGGAAUUCCGGGUGUAGCGGUGGAAUGCGUAGAGAUCCGGAAGAACACCGGUGGCGAAGGCGGCCUGCUGGGCAGUAGCUGACGCUGAUGCGCGACAGCGUGGGGAGGCAAACAGG
rnacentral:rRNA from 1 species